UACAGAGGUCCCAAGCGUUGUUCGGAUUCACUGGGCGUAAAGGGUGCGUAGGCGGUCGGGUAAGGCUGAUGUGAAAUCUCACAGCUUAACUGUGAAACUGCAUUGGAUACUAUCCGGCUCGAGGAAUGGAGGGGAGACUGGAAUACUUGGUGUAGCAGUGAAAUGCGUAGAUAUCAAGUGGAACACCAGUGGCGAAGGCGAGUCUCUGGACAUUUCCUGACGCUGAGGCACGAAAGCCAGGGGAGCAAACGGG
rnacentral:rRNA from 1 species